AGUUCCGGCCGCGCCGCUCGGGCCGCGGAGAGGGCGCGGGAGGCGAUUGGUGGGGGCUUGGAAGCCGCGGUCGUCGUGGAGCCCAGAGGCGUAAGGGCUAACAGUUUUCUGCCGCAGGCAGCUCGCAGCCGAAAGCUCCUCUCGCCAAAAUCAAAGGCUCCAUCCAAAGGGACGUGCGGAAGGGAAAGGAUGGGGGCUACGGGCCGCCGCACGGUCCAAGCCGCGCCGUCAAGCUGUCAAACUCGGUGGAGCGCUCUGGUCCCGGAGGCCGCGGAGGUGUGGCUUGUACAGUGUGCGGAGCGAGAACUCAGAAAAUGGGGAAAUGGAGGAGCGGGGGUGGAAACGAUUGGGCCGGAAAGCGCGUGGGGAGAAGGGGAAGCGCCCUGGACUGGGGGCUGCUGGGGUCCGCUGCGCCUCCCGACCCCGCUCUGAGCAUCCCAGCGAUUUCCAACGGACGAUAGGUCCUAAGUGCUUUGAAGAGACACAAAAAUAUAAUUGAACGAGUCAACACGCUCCAGCAGGUGGGGAGGCACCUCACAGAAGAGACUGGCCAAAACGUGAAAAACUGCUUGCUUUCACUAGACGUCCGGGAAACGCAGACUGAAACCACAGGGAAAUGUUUAUACACCCACCAACAUGGCCGGAGUGAAAAAACACCGAGCCCUGGCAAGCACCUGGAAUAACUCGGAGCCUCUAUCCGCUGCUGGGGGGGGAGGCGGGGAGAGGGAAUUGUUAAACUCCCUCCUACCGCAUUUAGGAGUAUCUGCCGAAGCCGCACGUGCACGGACCUGUGUUCACCGGAAGACGCCUGCUGGACGGUUCACAACCUAAAUGUCCGUGACCGACGGAAUGGAUAAAUGGUGCGUACCCAUACAAUGAACUACCGUACAAAAUAGGGACCAGUCGCACAAACACGUGUUGGGUUAAAGAAGCAAGACCUGAGACGGUACGUGCUGCGUGGUUCCAUCAAUAAAAGGUUCGGACUCCCGGCAAAACUGGUCUUUGGUAUGGGCAGACGUGGCGGGGCAAGGGUUCCCCGCGAGGGGGGGUGCCGGGCUACUAAUAAAACUCGGUGUCUUGG